AUACGGAGGGUCCAAGCGUUAUCCGGAAUCAUUGGGUUUAAAGGGUCCGCAGGCGGUCAAUUAAGUCAGAGGUGAAGGCGCAUCGCUCAACGAUGGAACUGCCUUUGAUACUGGUUGACUUGAGUUAUACGGAAGUAGAUAGAAUAAGUAGUGUAGCGGUGAAAUGCAUAGAUAUUACUUAGAAGACCGAUUGCGAAGGCAGUCUACUACGUAUAUACUGACGCUGAGGGACGAAAGCGUGGGGAGCGAACAGGAUUAGAUACCCUAGUAGUCC
rnacentral:rRNA from 1 species